GCGGCUGUGACGGAAUAGGUAGACGUACCAGACUUAAAAUCUGGAGGCCGCAAGGCCGUGCCGGUUCGAGUCCGGCCAGCCGCACCA
rnacentral:tRNA from 1 species